rnacentral:rRNA from 1 species
UACGUAGGGGGCAAGCGUUGUCCGGAAUCAUUGGGCGUAAAGCGCGUGUAGGCGGCCUUGUAAGUCCGUUCUGAAAGCCCGGGGCUCAACCCCGGGAGGCGGAUGGAUACUGCAAGGCUCGAGUACGGAAGAGGCGAGUGGGAAUUCCCGGUGUAGCGGUGGAAAUGCGCAGAUAUCAGGAGGAACACCGAUGGCGAAGGCAGGUCUCUGGGCCGGAUACUGACGCUGAGGAGCGAAAGCGUGGGGAGCGAACAGG